GGAUCCGAUUUUAGCAUGGAAUAAUAAAAUAGGACUUCGGUUCUAUUUUGUUGGUUUCUAUAACUGAAGUAAUGAUUGAUAGGGAUAGUUGGGGGUGCUAGUAUUGGCCGGCCAGAGGUGAAAUUCUUGGAUUCGGUCAAGACUAACUUAUGCGAAAGCAUUCACCAAGGAUGUCUUCUUUAAUCAAGAACGAAAGUUGGGGGAUCGAAGACGAUCAGAUACCGUCGUAGUCUCAACCAUAAACUAUGCCAACUAGGGAUGGGUGAACGUUGCAUUUUCGACUUCAUCCGCACCUUAUGAGAAAUCAAAGUCUUUGGGUUCCGGGGGGAGUAUGGUCGCAAGGCUGAAACUUAAAGGAAUUGACGGAAGGGCACCACCAGGAGUGGAGCCUGCGGCUUAAUUUGACUCAACACGGGAAACUCACCAGGUCCAGAAAUCCUAGA
rnacentral:rRNA from 1 species